rnacentral:rRNA from 1 species
UGAGUUUCAUACUUGCGUACGUACUCCCCAGGCGGAUCACUUAUCGCUUUUGCUUCGGCACAGAGGCUUCACACCCCCACACCCAGUGAUCAUCGUUUACAGCUAGGACUACCAGGGUAUCUAAUCCUGUUUGCUCCCCUAGCUUUCGCACUUCAGCGUCAGUUUCUGUCCAGUGAGUUAUCUUCAUCAUCGGCAUUCCUACACAUAUCUACGAAUUUCACCUCUACUCGUGUAGUUCCACCCACCUUUCCAGUACUCUAGUCUGACAGUUUUGUAGGCAAGACUAUGGUUGAGCCACAGCUUUUCACCUUCAACUUGUUAGACCGCCUAGAUGCCCUUUAAGCCCAAUAAUUCCGGAUAACGCUUGCGACAUACGUAUUACCGCGGCUGCUGGCACGUAUUUAGCCGUCGCUUCUUCUGUAGGUACCGUCAUCUUCUUCUUCCCUACUGAAAGCACUUUACAAUCCGAAAACCUUCUUCGUGCACACAGAAUUGCUGGAUCAGAGUUUCCUCCAUUGUCCAAUAUUCCCCACUGCUGCCUCCCGUAGGAGUAAGGGCCGUAUCUCAGUCCCCUUGUGGCCGUUCACCCUCUCGGGCCGGCUACCUAUCAUAGCCCUUGGUAGGCCUUUACCACCAACUAGCUACAUUAGGUGAUGCAAACUCUCUUCUGAUAGCAAUCUCUCCUUUAUUUAUAGUAGAUGCCUACUGCUAAUAUAUGUAGUUUGCAUCCUAUUUCUUAUGGUUUGUUGGGUAAGGUCCUACCAAGGCUAUGAUAGGUUAGCCGGCCCGAGAGGGUGAACGGCCACAAGGGGACUGAGAUACGGCCCUUACUCCUACGGGAGGCAGCAGUGGGGAAUAUUGGACAAUGGAGGAAACUCUGAUCCAGCAAUUCUGUGUGCACGAAGAAGGUUUUCGGAUUGUAAAGUGCUUUCAGUAGGGAAGAAGAAGAUGACGGUACCUACAGAAGAAGCGACGGCUAAAUACGUGCCAGCAGCCGCGGUAAUACGUAUGUCGCAAGCGUUAUCCGGAAUUAUUGGGCUUAAAGGGCAUCUAGGCGGUCUAACAAGUUGAAGGUGAAAAGCUGUGGCUCAACCAUAGUCUUGCCUACAAAACUGUCAGACUAGAGUACUGGAAAGGUGGGUGGAACUACACGAGUAGAGGUGAAAUUCGUAGAUAUGUGUAGGAAUGCCGAUGAUGAAGAUAACUCACUGGACAGAAACUGACGCUGAAGUGCGAAAGCUAGGGGAGCAAACAGGAUUAGAUACCCUGGUAGUCCUAGCUGUAAACGAUGAUCACUGGGUGUGGGGGUGUGAAGCCUCUGUGCCGAAGCAAAAGCGAUAAGUGAUCCGCCUGGGGAGUACGUACGCAAGUAUGAAACUCAAAGGAAUUGACGGGGACCCGCACAAGUGGUGGAGCAUGUGGUUUAAUUCGACGCAACGCGAGGAACCUUACCAGGUCUUGACAUACUCGGAAUAAGAUGGAAGCAUCUUAGUGCCUUUGGGAACCGAGAUACAGGUGGUGCAUGGCUGUCGACAGCUCGUGUCGUGAGAUGUUGGGUUAAGUCCCGCAACGAGCGAAACCCCUAUCAUUAGUUGCCAUCAUUAAGUUGGGGACUCUAAUGAAACUGCCCGCGACGAGCGGGAGGAAGGUGGGGAUGACGUCAAGUCAUCAUGCCCCUUAUGAUCUGGGCUACACACGUGCUACAAUGGGUAGUACAAAGAGGAGCUAAGCAGUGAUGUGGAGCAAAUCUUCAAAGCUACUCUCAGUUCGGAUUGAAGUCUGCAACUCGACUUCAUGAAGUUGGAAUCACUAGUAAUCGCAAAUCAGCAAUGUUGCGGUGAAUACGUUCUCGGGUCUUGUACACACCGCCCGUCACACCACGAGAGUUAGUUGCACCUGAAGUUACUGGCCUAACCGUAAGGAGGGAAGUACCUAAGGUGUGAUUAGUGAUUGGGGUGAAGUCGUAACAAGGUAUCCGUACCGGAAGGUGCGGAUGGAUCACCU